AAUAUGCUUUUCUCUCUGCAUCUUUUCUCUAUUUAUUGUAUUGUGAUAAUUUGGAUGUGUCCUUAUUUAUAGUGCUGUUGCAAUGCUCCUUUUGAUACUUUUUCCUUUAAGAGACAGUUGAGCUCCUUUUCUUAGGGAUGUGGAUUCUGCUUAAGGCUGAACAUGACAAUGCCUGUGUCCUUUAUUAACUCACCCCCAAAGAAUCCAGGCUGUCCUUACAGCCUAGACAAUUGUAGGAAAGUCAGAACAGUAUGAGUUCACUGUGGAGUAUUAUAGCAAAAAAGAUUUGUUGGAAUAUGGAGAUAAAAUAUUCAAAGAGGAAUGAGCAGAAGUAGGGAAAGCACUUAGUAUGUAAGACUUCAGCACGUUUAGUUACAUGUUUGCAUGCAUAUCCUUCCCCAAGUAACACUCAGUCAUGCAAUUCAAGUGAAAAUAGUACUUAUAAGAUGCUGUGUUUCACAUGAAUAGGAAGGGGAAGGUUGCAGCACUGAUUUUGCUGGCAUAAGGCUGCAGUUUUGGCUUAGGAAUUUGGGUAGAGGUCACAUCAGAAGGGCAGUGACAACAGAAACACAAUGUUCAUGUGAGAGUUGCUCAACACGUUUUCUACAUGCCUCCUGCAGCUAAACAGUAACUUCAGAGAGUGUGUUUCCCUGCUAUCGUUUGUAGUUGCUGGAGCUGAAAAUUGUCUUCCCCCUGAGUCCUGUCCUAGGCUGAACUGCAUGUCCAGUGACCCACAAAGUCUCCCUUCUGCUGAAUGGGAAGGGGCAGCUCAAAAGUCAACAAGUCUAUGGUAGAGUGCUACCAGAGGUACACACACGCAGGGAAGGGCAGCUAACAGCACACAGAUUGCCUGUACCCAAGGUGGAUAAACUUUCUCCUCUUUCAUGGGGAAGCCUUCCUAUGGAGACAAAAAAAGCAAACAAAAGAAAUAAUUGACAUACACAACUCCAAUAACUUCAAAGAAAGCAAGGACUAGAAGAGGCACUGAGCCUGCAUAUCUGUCAAAAAUGUCAAUCCAGUAACUCCCUGAACUCAGCGUAAAACACAGAGCAAUGAGGAAGCUAAUUAGACAUAUUAUACCUGAAGGAAAAAAGAUAUCUAUGUUACUGGAGUAUUGAAUUUGGAUUACCUGUUGGAAGCAGUUAUGGUACCUGAUCAAGAAAUUCUUGGAGGUCACAGCUCUUCAGUUUGAGUCCAGCAAUUUUUUCUGGAUGUGAUGAAUUCAGGAAAGUAAUCCAGGAUUCUUGCAGGACAACUUAUGUGUCUACUGUGUCUGUCUCUGUGUCUGUGCAAGUGAUCCUGGUACAUGACUGGGAACAUUUGCAGGAGUGAGAGAGUUUAUAAGUAUCUUCAGAAGAAAAAGUGUGCUGAUGCCAGAAACAUGCAGAUGAAGAUGCACAAGCAGAAUGUCAAUGAUUGAACACGGGAGUAAUGAGAACAGGAAGUAUAAUUGCUACCCUAUGGAUGGAAAUAUGUUUGGAUACACGAACACAUGAAACACAGAAAUUUUCUUAAAACAGAGUUUAAAAUUACUGAGGUCCCUCUGAUGUGUAAAAACUAAUGCUUUUCUCAUAAGGCCAACAAGUAAUGCUGUACUUAAAGGCAGCAUUUCAUUAGGGCAGUGCUUUUCCUCCCCUUAAUACCAGAACCAUUAUGGACAGUCCAGGUACCUUGAAAGAAGCUUUAAGUGGCCAUGCACAGUAAUAUAUCAUAACUGUAAAAUAGAGAAAAAAGUUACAAAUUGCCUCUGUGGGUAGUGGAUUUGGUGCCUGUGCUGCCUUUUUCUUGGCUAUGCUCGCUGCUCGUUAAAUAGCUGCAGAGCUCUGGGCACAGGCAUCAGUUGCCCAAACAAGUUCUUGGAAUUGUUCAUUGCCAAACCUCCAAAUAUUUCAAGUCUCUGAAGCUCUCUCAAAUGUGAAAGAGACUGGAGGAGACAUUUGUGUUCCUGAGCUGACAUAGAUGUCCACUGAAGGUGUGCCAUGCAUACUGUUGCUGAUGCUUGAUGAGAUCUCUUUUCUGCUUCCUCUCAUUAUUUAUUUUUUAAAAAAACCUUUCCAAAAGUCUGUUCCAGCUCCUGUGUUGCUUCAUCUUUGACAACUUCUGCUUUCCCUUCAAAUGCCUGUGAACAUCAUUUCAGUCUCUUUUAUUUUCUUGGCAGCUUCAUUUUCCAGGUAGCCAAGAGUUUAGAAAGAGUGAGUGAAUUGUCAGACUUUUCCAUGUCUGAAAGUCAAUGAAAAGAAGUAUUCAUUAUUUGUUCUAAAACUUAGGGUAUGAAAGUAAGACAAAUGGCAAAAAGCCUAUGUAUUUCUGUAUAGCCUGCCACAUUUAAAUCCAUAUGCAUGCAGCUGUUAUUUUUGAUAUUUUUUAAUGAGAACUGAAAUACAAACUUGGAAAGUGAAUAAACUUAAACAGUGGUGGUUUGGGGAAAAAAAAUGAAUUCAUUUGGGUGAUUAUGAUCUUGAAACUGGGUAAGAUAUAACUUUUAGCACUAGGUGUUACUUCUUUCACAGAUUUUCAAAAACAGUGAGAUGUCACAGUUACCAGGAAGUGGAUGUGGCAGCUAUCAGAAACUACAAUUUGUGCUGCACUGCAAAGUUGGAAAAAAGUUGGAAAAUAAUACC